AGAGUUUGAUCCUGGCUCAGGAUGAACGCUGGCGGCGUGCCUAACACAUGCAAGUCGAACGAAGCUUGACGGAUGAUUUCUUCGGAAUGAAACCUGAUAUGACUUAGUGGCGGACGGGUGAGUAACACGUGAGCAACCUGCCUUUCAGAGGGGGAUAACGGCUGGAAACGGUCGCUAAUACCGCAUGAUGUGUUCGGAUGGCAUCAUCUGAACAUCAAAGAUUUAUCGCUGAAAGAUGGGCUCGCGUCUGAUUAGAUAGUUGGUGGGGUAACGGCCUACCAAGUCUACGAUCAGUAGCCGGACUGAGAGGUUGAACGGCCACAUUGGGACUGAGAUACGGCCCAGACUCCUACGGGAGGCAGCAGUGGGGAAUAUUGCACAAUGGGGGAAACCCUGAUGCAGCAACGCCGCGUGAAGGAUGACGGUUUUCGGAUUGUAAACUUCUUUUCUUAGUGACGAAGACAGUGACGGUAGCUAAGGAAUAAGCAUCGGCUAACUACGUGCCAGCAGCCGCGGUAAUACGUAGGAUGCAAGCGUUAUCCGGAUUUACUGGGUGUAAAGGGAGCGCAGGCGGGACUGCAAGUUGGAUGUGAAAUACCGUGGCUUAACCACGGAACUGCAUCCAAAACUGUAGUUCUUGAGUGAAGUAGAGGCAAGCGGAAUUCCGAGUGUAGCGGUGAAAUGCGUAGAUAUUCGGAGGAACACCAGUGGCGAAGGCGGCUUGCUGGGCUUUAACUGACGCUGAGGCUCGAAAGUGUGGGGAGCAAACAGGAUUAGAUACCCUGGUAGUCCACACUGUAAACGAUGAUAGCUAGGUGUGGGGGGUCUGACCCCUUCCGUGCCGGAGUUAACGCAAUAAGCUAUCCACCUGGGGAGUACGACCGCAAGGUUGAAACUCAAAGGAAUUGACGGGGGCCCGCAC
rnacentral:rRNA from 1 species